rnacentral:tRNA from 1 species
ACCUGGAUGGCUCAGUCAGUUGAGCAUCUGACUUGGGCUCAGGUCAUGAUCUCAUGGUUUGUGAGUUUGAACCUCAUGUCAGGCC